AGAGGACUGAAAAUCCUCAUGUUACCGGUUCAAAUGCAAAUCUGGAUUGGUAAUAGCCGGGAUAGC
rnacentral:tRNA from 1 species